ACUGUUAACAUGCGUUUUUUUGCCUCCGUCCCUCUGACUGACUAAUGUGUGCUCCAUAGUAUUCCUUUAUCUUGUCCCUUGUAAACAGGUGGCAUCGACGGUUCAGUGUGAACAGUUCAGCUUUGAGAUUAUCUUGUAAUUGUUUGUACCACAAAUCUAAACAUAACUCUUUCCUCUGUGUUUCUCAUCACUUACCUAGAGUGUAAUUUGCUUUGUUCUUUCUUUUAUUUUUCUGAUAGGAAUUGCAUACCAUACUCUUCCAUUCAGUCCUUGUUUUAAAAAUCCAGGUGUUUGUCUUCUGCAUUUACUCAAUAGAAGCUUUUAACUCUGGGCCCUUUUUUGCCUCCCUCCAUACUAAAUCAGUUUUCCCUCUGCUCUGAUAUUUUUCACAAUUCAGCUUGAAUCGUCAGCCUGGACCUUAGGACCGUUCUUGCCCACUCCAGUUUGCUGCAUCAAAUGCUCUGUGGUGCUUUUCAACAUCCAGGAGAACUCAUUACUUCUGCUAUAAAGAAUGUGGACAUAAAGACCGGCCAUCAUAUUUUUGUCCAUGAACUAUUUCCCGCCUCAGAAAAAAGCUGUCUUCUAUUGAAUAAGGACCCAGAAUAUAAUUUAGAAGCACCAGCAGCAGAAAAAAACACCCUGAAGUGGGGAGAAAGAUAUGCUUCUUGAGCAUUAUUCAUUUGAAUCAUGGAGAUAUAUAGAAGCAGAUAUUUAUAUGAUGCAGUUGAUGUGUGACAGAGUACUAAAUGGAAAUUCUUCAAAAAGUCAGCUCCAUCUUUCCCAAGUCAUCAUGACUCUCUUAGUAGGCCAUAUUUUAUAGGGAAUCACUCAGCACAUGUAUGAGCUUUCCCAGUCCUAAACUCUUUUAAGCUGUAUAUUUCAUCUGGAGUGAAAGGUGGAGACAGUGUAGUCUAUGAGCUGCCUAGUAGGCAUUAAAACAACAUUCCUCAUUUUUAGACAACUCUGUGGUGGCACACAGAAAUCUAAUGUUCCAUGCAAUUUAUGUUUUUCCAUUUUCUUGAGCAAAUAAUUCUGUUUGUAUGUAGAUAUAUGAGCUUGCAGGCUUCAAUGCACAGUACUGCAAGUCACAAGCCAGCUUACCUGCUAGC